UACGAAGGGGGCUAGCGUUGUUCGGAAUCACUGGGAGUAAAGCGCACGUAGGCGGAUCGUUAAGUCGGGGGUGAAAUCCCGAGGCUCAACCUCGGAACUGCCUUCGAUACUGGCGAUCUUCGAGUCCGGGAGAGGUGAGUGGAACUCCGAGUGUAUAGGUGAAAUUAGUAGAUAUUCGGAAGAACACCAGUGGCGAAGGCGGCUCACUGGCCCGGUACUGACGCUGAGGUGCGAAAUCGUGGGGAGCAAACAGG
rnacentral:rRNA from 1 species